AGAGUUUGAUUAUGGCUCAGAAUGAACGUUGGCGGCGUGGAUUAGGCAUGCAAGUCGUUCGUCCCGCAAGAGGGGGCGGCAAGGGUGAGUAAGGCGACGGUAACCAACCCCGAGGCCGGGCAUAGCGUUCGAAAGGACGGGUAAUUCCCGGCGGUCUCGCGUGGAGGCAUCUCCGUGCGAGUAAAGGUGCGAUUCCGCCUCGGGACGGGCCGUCGUGAUAUCAGGUUGUUGGCGGGGUCACGGCCCACCAAGCCUACGACGUCUACCGGGCGUGCGAGCGUGGCCCGGCACACUGGGACUGAGACACUGCCCAGACACCUACGGGUGGCUGCAGUCGAGAAUCUUCGGCAAUGGGCGCAACGUGACCGAGCGACGCCGCGUGGAGGAUGAAGGCCUUCGGGUUGUAAACUCCUGUCGAGGGGGAACAAGGCGCCGUGCAGAACGGUCCGAGUGAGUCCCUGGAGGAAGGACGGGCUAAGUUCGUGCCAGCAGCGCGGUAAGACGAACGUGCGAACGUUAUUUCGGAUUCACUGGGCUUAAAGCGCGUGUAGGCGGCCCCGACACGUCGUCGCUGAAUUCCCCGGCUAAACGGGAAACGGGCGCGGAUACGAUAGGGGCUGGAGGCGGNUAGGGGGAGUAGGAACUUCUGGUGGAGCGGUGAAAUGCGUUGAGAUCGGAAGGAACGCCCGUGGGCAAAGCGGACUCCUGGACCGGACCUGACGCUGAGACGCGAAACGUAGGGGAGCAAACGGGAUUAGAUACCCCGGUAGUCCUANNNUAAACCAUGGGCACUGGGUAGGGGACUCGCCGAUGGGUUCCCUGCCGCAGCGAAACGGUGAAGUGCCCCGCCUGGGAGUAUGGUCGCAAGGCUGAAACUCAAAGGAAUUGACGGGGGCUCACACAAGCGGUGGAGCAUGUGGCUUAAUUCGAGGCUACGCGCAAAACCUUAUCCCAGGCUUGACAUGCACGGAUUAGCCGGCGGAAACGUCGGUGAGGCCGCAAGGUACAACGUGCACAGGUGCUGCAUGGCUGUCGUCAGCUCGUGCCGUGAGUGUUGGGUUAAGUCCAGUAACGAGCGAAACCCCUGUCUCUAGUUGCCAGCGCGUCAAGGUGGGCACUCUAGAGAGACCGCCGGCGUCAAGGCAGGAAGGCGGGGAUGACGUCACGUCUCAUGGCCCUUAUGCUGGGCUGCACACGUGUACAAUGGGCGGACAAGCGUGCCAAGGCGCAAGCCCGAGCUAAUCGCCGAAACCGUUCCUCAGUUCGGAUCGGCGGCUGCAACCCGCCCGCGUGAAGCCGGAAUCGAUAGUAAUCGCGGAUCAGCAUUGCCGCGGUGAAUGUGUUCCUGAGCCUUGUACACACCGCCCGUCAAGCCACCAAAGGGGGGGGCACCCGAAGUCGCCGGCGCUCGCAAGAGCAGGCGCCGAAGGUGAGAACCCUGAUGGGGACUAAGUCGUAACAAGGUAACCGUAGGGGAACCUGCGGUUGGAUCACCUCCUUUCU
rnacentral:rRNA from 1 species